rnacentral:rRNA from 1 species
GAUGAACGCUGGCGGCGUGCCUAAUACAUGCAAGUCGAGCGAACAGACGAGGAGCUUGCUCCUCUGACGUUAGCGGUGGACGGGUGAGUAACACGUGGAUAACCUACCUAUAAGACUGGGAUAACUUCGGGAAACCGGAGCUAAUACCGGAUAACAUGUUGAACCGCAUGGUUCAACAGUGAAAGACGGUCUUGCGUUCACUUAUAGAUGGAUUCGCGGCGCAUUAGCUAGUUGGUAGGGUAACGGCUUACCAAGGCAACGAUGCGUAGCCGACCUGAGAGGGUGAUCGGCCAAACUCGAACUGAGACACGGUCCAGACGCCUACGGGAGGCAGCAGUAGGGAAUCUUCCGAAAUGAGCGAAAGCCUGACGGAGAAACGCCGGUUGAGUGAAGAAGGUCUUCGGAUCGUAAAACUCUGUUAUUAGGGAAGAACAAAUGUGUAAGUAACUAUGCACGUCUUGACGGUACCUAAUCAGAAAGCCACGGCUAACUACGUGCCAGCAGCCGCCGUAA